AGACGGCGGGGUGCACCGGGCCUCCGGCUGAGGGCAGGACUGGACUCUGGUGCCCGGCCGCUCCGACCACACGGACUGGGCUGGCGGGCCCUCUUGGGCGCCCACUGAGUGCAGGGGAUGGAGCUGGCCAUACAGGGGAAGUGGGGGACUGGCACAGGGGCCCAGGCGAGUGGAUGGUGGGACGCGGUCCCAGGUGCAAACCUUUGUCUCACUUGCGCCGUUGCCGCUCCAUGUCCCUGCCUCUUUGCUUACGGACCCUUUUCCAGAGUUGGAUUGAGCUCAGGCUCUGCGGCACAGUGGUUCCCGCAGGAGCAGCGGGACCACUUUCAGGCUCCGAUGCUGGUCUCUGGUAGAAGAAGGUGGCUCACGGCUCUGCUGCAGGCUCAGCGUUGGCCCUUUCAACCCUCCAGAGACAUGAGAUUGGUGCAGUUCCGGGCACCCCACCUGACGGGACCUCAUCUGGGCCUGGAGUCAGGGAAUGGUGGAGGUGUCAUCAACCUCAGCGCCUUUGACCCCACACUGCCCAAGACGAUGAUAGAGUUCCUGGGGCAGGGAGAGGCCGCUCUCUCAGUGGCAAAGAGAAAAUUGGGUGUAUCUCUACUGUGCAGUAAUAGGCAGCCAUACGAAAACGAGGAAGCUGUAUACUGUUAUGCUGCUGCAGGAUCUCCCCAGAGUGCCGCUCUCUCCUGCUCUGGUCUCUGCAGAGCCCUGGCUGCCCAGUUGCCAGUCCUACCACGGUCAGAAGUGACAUUCCUGGCUCCAGUUACACGGCCAGACAAGGUGGUGUGCGUGGGCAUGAACUAUGUGGACCACUGCAAAGAGCAGAACGUGCCUGUGCCCAAGGAGCCCAUCAUCUUCAGCAAGUUUUCCAGCUCCAUCGUGGGGCCCUACGACGAGGUCGUCCUCCCUCCUGAGAGUCAGGAGGUGGACUGGGAGGUGGAGCUGGCUGUGGUCAUUGGAAAGAAAGGCAAGCACAUCAAGGCCACAGAUGCCAUGGCCCAUGUGGCUGGCUUCACUGUGGCACAUGACGUGACUGCUCGUGACUGGCAAAUGAGACGCAAUGGAAAGCAGUGGCUGCUGGGAAAAACCUUUGACACCUUCUGCCCCCUGGGCCCUGCCUUGGUGACCAAGGACAGUGUAGCAGGUUCGUCACUCUUUUCCCAGGGGACGUCAUCCUGACCGGGACCCCCCCAGGUGUUGGUGUAUUCAGAAAACCUCCUGUCUUUCUCAAGAAGGGCGAUGAAGUCCAGUGUGAGAUCGAGGAACUAGGUGUCAUCGUCAACAAGGUGGUGUGACGGGCUCUACCGCGGGCCGUGGACUUACGACGAGGUGGGGGCAUCCGUUCCCACUGAGCCCAGCACAGGAAGAGGCCCAGUGCCAGCCCCUGAGUAGCUCCUCUUCCAGGUAGACGAGGAGGAGAUGGUGCUCUCCUCCUCAAUAAACUUCUUUUUGGCUUCCUUUA